rnacentral:snRNA from 1 species
AGCUUUGCGCAGUGGCAGUAUCGUAGCCAAUGAGGUUUAUCCGAGGCGCGAUUAUUGCUAAUUGAAAAGGAAUAUAUAGUCCCCUCUGGGUAGUGGGGUUAUGGAUAAUUUCCGUUUUCUAUACACUUUGCUAAAAAUUCUACAAUA